CGCAACCCUUAAGAAACUGUACAAAUAGGCGGGUACGCUAAGAGGAGCACCUGUGGCUGUCUUCCGUUUCUCUAUUUAGACUGCUGAGACUGAAUUACGGGGAAAUGACUGGCAAGUGCGUGCUCUCGGCUUUCAUUCUAUUUGCCGUUCUGGCUACCACAAAUUCAACUGAAAACCCUUGCGAGGGUAUUAUUCACGAAGAAUGCAUCAACAAAGAGACAUGGUGCCUUGUCGAUGCGAACGGACGCCGUGGCCUAAGUUGCCGUAAGUCACCAUCCAAAUUA